GCACGAAAGGUGUAACGAUCUGGGCACUGUCUCAACGAGAGACUCGGUGAAAUUAUAGUACCUGUGAAGAUGCAGGUUACCCGCGACAGGACGGAAAGACCCCGUGGAGCUUUACUGCAGCCUGAUAUUGAAUUUUGGUACAGCUUGUACAGGAUAGGUAGGAGCCUUGGAAGCCGGAGCGCUAGCUUCGGUGGAGGCAUUGGUGGGAUACUACCCUGGCUGUAUUGACAUUCUAACCCGCACCCCUGAUCGGGGUGGGAGACAGUGUCAGGUGGGCAGUUUGACUGGGGCGGUCGCCUCCUAAAAAGUAACGGAGGCGCCCAAAGGUUCCCUCAGAAUGGUUGGAAAUCAUUCGUAGAGUGUAAAGGCACAAGGGAGCUUGACUGCGAGACCUACAAGUCGAGCAGGGACGAAAGUCGGGCUUAGUGAUCCGGUGGUUCCGCAUGGAAGGGCCAUCGCUCAACGGAUAAAAGCUACCCCGGGGAUAACAGGCUUAUCUCCCCCAAGAGUCCACAUCGACGGGGAGGUUUGGCACCUCGAUGUCGGCUCAUCGCAUCCUGGGGCUGUAGUCGGUCCCAAGGGUUGGGCUGUUCGCCCAUUAAAGCGGUACGCGAGCUGGGUUCAGAACGUCGUGAGACAGUUCGGUCCCUAUCCGUCGUGGGCGUAGGAAAUUUGAGAGGAGCUGUCCUUAGUACGAGAGGACCGGGAUGGACGCACCGCUGGUGUACCAGUUGUCUUGCCAAAGGCAUCGCUGGGUAGCUAUGUGCGGAAGGGAUAAGUGCUGAAAGCAUCUAAGCAUGAAGCCCCCCUCAAGAUGAGAUUUCCCAUAGCGCAAGCUAGUAAGAUCCCUGAAAGAUGAUCAGGUUGAUAGGUCAGAGGU
rnacentral:rRNA from 1 species